rnacentral:rRNA from 1 species
AUUGAACGCUGGCGGCAUGCCUUACACAUGCAAGUCGAACGGUAACGCGGGGCAACCUGGCGACGAGUGGCGAACGGGUGAGUAAUGCAUCGGAACGCGCCCAGUAGUGGGGGAUAGCCCGGCGAAAGCCGGAUUAAUACCGCAUACGACCUACGGGUGAACGCGGGGGACCGUAAGGCCUCGCGCUAUCGGAGCGGCCGGUGUCAGAUUAGGUUGUUGGUGGGGUAAACGCGUACCAAGCCGACGAUCUGUAGCUGGUCUGAGAGGACGACCAGGCACACUGGGACUGAGACGCGACCCAGACUCCGACGGGAGGCAGCAGUGGGGAAUUUUGGACAAUGGGGGGAACCCUGAUCGAGCCAUGCCGCGUGCGGGAAGAAGGCCUUCGGGUUGUAAACCGCUUUUGUCAGGGAAGAAACGCUCUGGGCUAAUACCCCGGGGUAAUGACGGUACCUGAAGAAUAAGCACCGGCUAACUACGUGCCAGCCGCCGCAGUAAUAC